GUUUUUUAUUUUGCAGGUGCUUAAGUCAGACCCUGUUUUGCCUUGGAUAUGCCUGGAAGGUGCUGCUCUUUGUGCACAUGCCUGUGGCCCUUGCAUCAUCUAAGCUACUCAGCUGAAUCAGAACACUUAUACAGUGGAGAAGAACAUUUUUGACAAAACAAAACUUUCUAUAUUAUGUCUUUUUGCCAAAACAAAAUGCUUUUCAUAUUAUUUCAUUCAUGGGUUUUGGGGUGGAGUUCUUUAUUUUGCUUUGUUUCCUACUAACUUUUCCAUCUCCAUAAAACAAUAUGAAGGUUGCACUCAGCUCUUACCCCACAGCACCUUUAGUGCCCUUUUUGCUUAUAGUAACCUGAAAUAUCCAUUCAUGUUAAUUGAUAUUUUACCUCUGGAUGUCUAUCAUGACCUUGCCAGUUUCUGCAGCUAGUUUCAUCUUUCAUCAUGGCCAUCUUUUAGUGAGCGUAUUUAGCCAUAGACACAAGUUUAGGUUUUGAACAGAAAUUGCUGUUCUUUUAAUUCCUGGGUACAAACAGUGUGAUCUAUACAUGCAUAACAAUUUCUUGUCUAGACACAGUUUUCUGUUGAAUCUGGGUGGUCAAUAGACUUUCAAAGUGUUAAGAGGCUUUGGCACUCAAGCUGACCACUAAUCCACCUUUGUUGUCACUUCUGGAGAAGACUGAUGACCUCAGCUCUGAGGAUGUCAGGUGACCUAAACUGAUUUAAAAAAUGCUCUUGCACGUUCAUUCUCCUUCUAUUUUCCAGAUAGGUGAGAGGGCAGUUCCCUUCAACCACAGGAGCACCUGCAGGAGAAGCUUGGACAGAGCUCUGAAGAAGAAUGCAGAAGAACUACAGUCACUGAAAUAAAGUUUUCUUUCUCCUUUGAUACUCAUCCAUAUGCAUUAACACUGUGGGUGAUCCCAUGCACUUCAGAUACUCACUAAUUAUCUAAAGGCUGCAAAGAGCUCACCAGCCUGGUGCUCUGAUGCAUGUAUGAGCUUCCAAGUCAACUGGAAGAGUUUUGGUUUAGGAUUCAGAACCUUCCUUGGACCAGUUCAAGCUGCAGUGAGGCCCACUACAUGAAGAUGGGCAAAGGUUCAGCUGCAGGGAAAGAAAAAUGUGUUCUUGCAGCAGGAGAUGGUCCUGCCUGAACCAGAGGGGAACAGCUUGGUGGCUCAUUUGCUGGAAAGCCUUGGGACCUGGAAGAGCAGGUUUAUUUGUGCUGAAGACAAAUAAUGAUCAAACAUCUAUCUGUGGAUGUACUGGUCAACUGCUUGCAAGCUUCACCAAGAGAGGAGCAUCCCAUUUUUGGGUCCAGAAACACCGGCCCCUUGUCAGCCACGGAUUACUUUUCCAUAAAUUGGCUAUAGAAUAUAUUCCCUCCAGCAGGGGGCAGUGGAAUGGUAGGUGUACAUAUAUGACAGAAUUUUAAUUUAAUUUAGGAGACAAAAUUCAAAUGUUCAUUUUAAAAAAAUGAAGUGAGAUCUGCAAUAAGCAGGAGAGAUGAUUUGCAUUCCCCUUCAGGCAUAAUGUGAUUUUGCUUUGGCUUUAUUCCAAGAAAUACAGAGGAGGCCUUUUGAUUAACAAUAGUAUGUCAUUAUGAAAAAGAUUCUAGUGCCUAAGAAUUAAUAAAAUGUGAA